rnacentral:misc_RNA from 1 species
GAUGAAGAACGUAGCGAAAUGCGAUAAGUAAUGUGAAUUGCAGAAUUCAGUGAAUCAUCGAGUCUUUGAACGCACAUUGCGCCCGCCAGUAUUCUGGCGGGCAUGCCUGUUCGAGCGUCAUUUCAACCAUCAAGCCCCAGGCUUGUGUUGGGGACCUGCGGCUGCCGCAGGCCCUGAAAACCAGUGGCGGGCUCGCUGUCACACCGGGCGUAGUAGAUUUUAUCUCGCUCAGGGCGUGCUGCGGGUUCCGGCCGUUAAAAAGCCUUUUUUACCCAAGGUUGACCUCGGAUCAGGUAGGAAGACCCGCUGAACUUAAGCAUAUCAAUAAGCGGAGGA